rnacentral:rRNA from 1 species
UGUCUCAGUACAAAGCCAAAUUAAGGUGAAACCGCGAAAGGCUCAUUAAAUCAGUUAUGGUUCCUUAGAUCGUACACACAUUUACUUGGAUAACUGUGGUAAUUCUAGAGCUAAUACAUGCAAACUGAGCUCCGACCGGAGACGGAAGGAGCGCUUUUAUUAGAUCAAAACCAAUCGGUGUUCUGCACCGUAUAUAUAAUUUGGUGAUUCUGAAUAACUUUAAGCUGAUCGCACGGUCUUGCACCGGCGACGCAUCUUUCAAAUGUCUGCCUUAUCAACUGUCGAUGGUAGGUUCUGCGCCUACCAUGGUUGUAACGGGUAACGGGGAAUCAGGGUUCGAUUCCGGAGAGGGAGCCUGAGAAACGGCUACCACAUCCAAGGAAGGCAGCAGGCGCGCAAAUUACCCAUUCCCGGCACGGGGAGGUAGUGACGAAAAAUAACGAUACGGGACUCAUCCGAGGCCCCGUAAUCGGAAUGAGUACACUCUAAACCCUUUAACGAGGAUCAAUUGGAGGGCAAGUCUGGUGCCAGCAGCCGCGGUAAUUCCAGCUCCAAUAGCGUAUAUUAAAGUUGUUGCGGUUAAAAAGCUCGUAGUCGAAUCUGUGUCCAACGCCGCCGGUUCAUCGUUUCGCGGUGUUAACUGGCGUGUCGUGGGACGUCCUGCCGGUGGGCUUUAGCUUUAAAAGGCGGUCCAACUCAAUCCCUGCCGCGGUGCUCUUCACUGAGUGUCGAGGUGGGGCCGGCACGUUUACUUUUGAACAAAUUAGAGUGCUUAAAGCANGGCUAAAAUUUCGCCUGAAUACUGUGUGCAUGGAAUAAUGGAAUAGGACCUCGGUUCUAUUUUGUUGGUUUCAAAUUCCAACGGGGUAAUGAUUAAUAGGAACGGAUGGGGGCAUUCCGUAUGC